AAACAACCCAGACCGCCAGCUAAGGUCCCAAAGUACUAGUUAAGUGGGAAACGAAGUGGGAAGGCUUAGACAGCUAGGAUGUUGGCUUAGAAGCAGCCAUCAUUUAAAGAAAGCGUAAUAGCUCACUAGUCGAGUCGGCCUGCGCGGAAGAUGUAACGGGGCUAAAACUAGUCACCGAAGCUGCGGCAUCAGUAGCAAUACUGUUGGGUAGGGGAGCGUUCUGUAAGCGGAUGAAGGUGA
rnacentral:rRNA from 1 species